UAAUCCAUCAAUUUCUCAAUCCAUGUUCCCUAAAAUCCAAAUGGAUACUUUUUCUGUUUAUUAUUAGGAUUAAAUACUCCAAAAUGUUUCUCCAACUCAGGAUUCUUCUUAUUCUCAUCAAACAACCCAAAUAUAUAAGUCUCAAUAGGUCCAGACCUCAUUGGUGUUCCACCAUUAACAUGCCUAAUCAAAUUAUCAAGAUAAACUCUUGCAUUAUCAUAAGUAGCUGCAAAUCCACCAUCUGAAGGCCAACCACUCUCAGACACAACAACCUUAACAAAACCAAUUCCAGUAUUGUCAAUUGCAGCAUGUAAUGAAUCCAACAAAGCAUCAAAUAGAUUUUGGUAUCCCCUUGAACCAUCCCUAACCACAACAUUAGGAGAAGUGAAUAAAGCAUAUUGAAGUGAGAUGUCUUUUGGGUUAUCUUUAUAGCUAAAAUAAGAGUAAAUAUUUGCAAAUAAAGGUGCAUUUGCAUAUACUAAGUAGCCUAUAAUUGGAUCCAAAUAUGACCUCACAUCGCUUCUAAAUGAACCUUUAGACGGCGGGUACGAAGUUCCUAUCAUGGUCAUGUCAAUAGCCGUUGAAACCUUGAUUUGAUCUUGAAAAUUUUUCGCUCUUAUUGCUUGGUAUAUGUUUUGGAUUGCCGGAAGGACGAAUUUUGCAAAUUGAGAAGAGCCGCCAACUGGAUUAACUUCAUUACCGACCGCGAUGUAUUUGAUUUUAACACUAGGGUAGAAGUUUAGUACAUUUUUUUGUACCCAUUGAUUUGCAAUGUCUUUGUUGUUAGCAAUGUUUUGAAGAUCGGAGUUAGGCACACCUAACAUAAGCUCAAUACCAGAGUUUCUAAGUGCUUCAAGAGCAUCUGGGUUUGGAUCAUAUAGCCUCAUUCUUUUGAUGUUGUUUGAUUUGCAAAGAUCUAUUGCUUCACGUUGUGAUGGUAGAUUGGUUCCUUCCAUGCCAUAACAAACACCUAUUUGAGCACCUGCUUGUGAAAAUAUUGUAUGCAUCUCUUUAAUCAGCUCAAGUUGUAACAUUGUAAUUAGUGUUAACAUAUAAACUACUAAAAAAAAUUACAUUAGCAAAAUUAGAGUUUAAAAAAUGAAAUUCUUCAUUAAUUUUGUCGGCAAACUAUCCACUAGAUUUGUGCUGGAAAUUAAGAAGUGGCUGAGAGUUGUCCAUGCCAAUUGCCACACAUAAAAACACUGCGGUGGGCCUAUGCUAUAAAAAUAUUAGUAUAGUUCCAAACUCAAAUCAAAAUCAUUUAAAUAGACGUUUAUAAAAUACACAUAAUUUAACUAUCUUUUAUAAAUACAUAUUAUUUAAUUAUUUUCUCUGUCAUACUUAAUUUGCAUUCAUGUAAGUGUUUAAAAUAUUUUAUUUAUGUUUGUGACCAAACUAAUGUAUCUUGUAAAUUUUUAAAGCCGACUCAACAACGAAAACAAAAAAGGAAAUGGUAUAGAUUUCCUUAAAAAAAAGUAAAGAUAGUCACACAAAGAUAGUCACACAGUACGUCUCCAUUGAGAACGUGUCAUAGAAAAAAGAAAAAUUUAAUAUUAUUCAUUGUAAGGAGCUUUCUGACUUAAAGUACAAACAUGACUUUGUUAAGGAUGUCAUUUAUCAAGCGGGCAGGAGUAUUAAUGAAGAAUGAGGCGUCUGUGAACUUCCUGAUUAACCCACUAGAUAGAAGAUCGACAUUUAGGCAUGUAGAUGUUAUGGUGUACGCAUGGGUAGGAAGAAAACACGGAUGUGUGAACUUGACUGUGGUUUCACCACUUAUGGGAUUAUGGACGCGUCAAGAAAAGUGGUCAAACAUGAGAAAGCGUGUUCUGACAAUCAGCAUAUACUUUUUAUACCAUUUGAUUUUGACACUUUUGGUUUUCUAACACCAGAGAUUGUUGACCUUCUUCAUAUAGUACAAAGGGUCGUGCACAACAAUGUCUUGUCUUCUAAGUUCAUGAAUAUUGUAUUUACGAAAAUUGAUUUUGUCAUCUAAAAAGGCCUUACGGCGCAAUUUAUUGCAUGUUUAUCUUCUAUUCAUGUGUAAUAAUCUUUGAUAUAUAAAAAGAGUGUAUGGUUGUUGAGAGCAUAAAAAAUGAGAGUCUCAUUUUGACUUAAGAUCCUCUAAGAAAUUAAGAAGUCUCACAUUUAUGGAAACAAUGAAAAUAAAUGUAUUUAUAAAUGAUAGAGAGUUCCAUUCAUAGGUUCAAACUUUUAGACGAUAAACAUCUCACAAUUAAGAACACAAACUAACCCACUAUGUUGCAAAACUUCAUUGGACCUGUGUAAUAUGUCUACUUAAGAGACAAAAAAUUAAAUACAUAAAUUUAAUUUAUUUUUUUAUCUAAUUAUUCAGUCACUAAUUCAAUAUUAUCUAUUUCUGUCCAAAAAAAAUCAACUUUAUUGUUUAAUAGUAAAUAAGAAAAUUAGCUAGGAACUUCUACUUGUUUACUUACUUGUCAAGCGAAGAGUUACUGUAAACAGUGCAAACAGUAGCAGCAGAGAAGCCAUUACGGUACUGUUGCUUGUGAUCAUGCUAGGAAAGAAAGCUUUAACACAAAGGAAGUGUAAUAAAGCUUGAGUAUUAAGUUGAGUCCUAAACUUAUUUUUGCAAGUCACAUAUUUAUAUAGAGAUUCAUAUGCAGUGACCAAUACCUCGUGGUCAUGGGUCAUUAGUAUUUAGAAAUUUCUAUGGCUAUAUAUCACUUUCCUCAAUAGAAACUUUUUGUCCUUUAUAAUUAAUUCAUAAUUUCAGUAGACUAGUCGUUUUGGGUAGAUAGCUUAUCGUUUCUGUCCUUAUAUUAACGUAAGGUGGGAUAGAUAGUUUGUUUGGAAGUCUUGAGGAUAUAAAUGCCCAUUGAAAUGGCAAGGAAAUGGGGUCAAACAAUAUUGAAGUGUGGAAAAGUCUUGGAGAUAUAAGAAUCAUGUGGCUCACCAAUUUUUUAGCAAGAUUACGAGGACAAAUAAAAUGUUGGAUGAGUGGAUAAGAAGUACUUUAUUUCCAAUUUAUAAGAACAAAGGGGAUAUACAAAAUUGCUUGGAUUAUAGGGGAAUUAAACUAAUGAGUCUUACCAUGAAGUUAUGGGAAAGGGUGAUUGAAUGAAGACUAAGAAAAGAGACUCGAGUUAUCGAUAACCAAUUUGAUUUUAUGCCUAGGUGUCAACUAUGGAAGCGAUCUACUUACUUCGGCGUAUGAUGGAGAGAAACAUCGGAUGGAAAAAAAUGCCCACACUUAAUCUUCAUUGAUUUGGGGAAGGUGUGUGAUAGAGUGCCUAGAGAGAUUUUGUGAAAAGCCCUAGAAAAGAAAGGGGUUAUAAUUGGUUAUAUUAGAGUUAUCCAUGAUAUGUAUGAUGGAGUUUUAACUAGAGUAAAGACGUAAGAUGGGGCUACUGAAGAUUUUUCGAUAACAAUAGAAUUGCACCAAAGGUCUACCGUAAACCCUUACUUUUUUACUUUAGUUUUGGAUGUACUUACAGAACACAUCCAAGAGCUAGCACUAAGAUGUAUGCAUUUUGUAGAUGAUGCAGUUCCGCUUGGAGAGUCGAAUGAGAAAUUGAAUGGGAGGUUAGAGAUAAAUUUUAGAAGUGUAUGAGUUCUGCUUAAGUAGAACAAGACAUAUUAUAUGGGGUGUAACUUCAGCAAAAGGAGAAAUAGUUUAACCUUGGAGGUGAAAGUUGGAGAUCAUAUCAUACCCCAAGUUACACGGUUUAAAUAUCUCAGGUCCAUAGUACAAAAUGACGGAGAAAUAGAAGUAGAUACAAAUCAUCGUAUUCAAGUUGGAUGGUUGAAAUGAAGAAGAGCUUCAGGUGUUUCAUAUGAUAAGAAAGUACCACUCAAGUUAAAAGGAAAAUUAUAUUGGACAACAACCAGGCUAACGAUGUUGUACGGUACAGAGUGUCAGGUGGUUAAGAACCAACACGAAAAUCAAGCAAGUGUAACAGAGAUGAGGGUGUUGUGUUGGACAAGUGGUAAGACUAAAAGGGAUAAGAUUAGGAAUGACACCAUUUGAGAGAGAGAGAGAGAGAGAGAGUGAGUUGGGGUAGCACCUAUAAACGAAAAGAUGAUAGAAAAUAGACUUCGGUGGUCUGGCCAUGUAGAGAGAAGACAUGUAAAUGAUGUAGCUCGAAGAGUAGAUAAGAUGGAGGAAAGUCAGAUCAGAAGAUGUUAGAGGAAGACUUAGGAAAACUAUAAGAGAAACUAUUAUGAAAGAUUUAGAGGUUAAUGAGUAGAAUCCAAAUAUCGUUGAUGAUAGAACAUUAUGACAUAAUUUGAUCCAUAUAGCCGAUCUCAAUUAAUGAGAUAAGACUUGGUUGUUGUUCACGUUUAUUGGACCAAUAAUAAUAAAUGUAUUUAUACAAGUGGUAGAGAGUUUAAUUUUAGAAAUUUAGGUCUUAAUAUAAACAGAUUUCAUAAUACAUGUUCAACAAUCGUAAAUCAAUAGCGGAAGCAAACAAAACAUUGAACAUGAUUAUGAUCGGAUCUACGACAUGUUUGAUUUAUCAAGAUAUUAAGAAUUAGGGUAUUAAGAAUACCUGAUAAAACUUUUGUAGCAGCCCUCUCAUCAACAACGAUAACCAAAGAGAGGAGAUGAUCUGAAACACACAAUAGAGUUAGCGGCGGCUGAUUUGGUUCUUCCUCAACCGGUACCUUUAUGCCUCAAGUUCUCUUCAGAUGAGAUGAGGAGAAGAGAGAAUAUUGCCGUGUACGGUAUAUUGGGGACCAUAACCUCUUUUAUAUUAGAUGACCAUUAGGGUUUCCCAUUAUUCCGUUAAUGGGUCAUCCGUACAUCCACUCAUUGAGUCCAUAUCAACUAAUUAAAUAUUUAAUUAAUUAUCCAAUUAGAAAUCUAAUAGCCUUAUUACUUAAUUUGAUCAAUAAUCAACUAAUGCCCACAAUUGAUAAAUAGCUAAUAUAAUUAUUGUUACGAUAUUUGCCCACAUAAUGAUAUUGAAAUAUAAUAAAUAAUAAAAUAUUCCAACAUUUAAUUCAUAGAUUUAGACUUUUGGACGAUAAACAUCUCACACUUAAGAAUACCAACUAGCCCACUAAUACAUGAAUUUCAUUUUUUUUUUUUUACCUAAAAAUUACAUUUUUUAUUUAAAAAUUUAGUCACUAAUUCAAUAUUAUAUAUUUCUGUAAAAAAAAAAAAUCAUUUUAUCGUUUAUCGUUUAGUAAUAAGAAAAUUAGCUAGGAACUUUUACUUAUUUUUAUGAAAGUAUUGCAUGUGAUCAUGCUAGGAAAUAGAGCUAUAGCACAAAGGAGUGUAAUAAAACUUGAGUAUUAGGCUGUGCCCUAUACUUACUUUGACAAGCCACAUAUUUAUUUAUAUAGAGAUUCAUGUGCAGUGAUCAAUACCUCGUUGUCACGGGCCAUUAGUAUAAAUAUCAAAAUGUUUUUAUCAAUUGGAUUCAAUGAAUUCUAUGGCUAUCACUUUCAUCUAUAAAAAUUUCUUGUCCUUUAUAAUUAAUUCAUACUUUCAUUAGACUAGUCGUGUGGCAGAUAUGAAUCUCUGUUGUUAGUCAAUAGCCUAUAUGCUUUCAGCCCUUCUUAGUAAAGACGGACAGAUAGUUUGUCUGGAUAUAUUUCCACAUAUAUAGUAAAUAGAAAUUCAAUCCAUAUACAAUGGUCUAUUGAAUGCCAUUUUCAAUAUAUUGAAAUCAUUAUAGUGGGGUAUUGAAAAUGAGAGAAGAUGAAAGAGGUGAUGAAAAGGUUAAACAUGUUGAAAUUUUGACCGGAGAGGUCACAUGGCACGCUCGUAUUGGACCAACCAAGGCGUGUGGCAUGCACGCGCCGACAAGGCGCGUGGGAGCAGGCUUCCGCGGAGAGAAAGAGAAAUGGAUUAAAUUAGUGACAUGUGGCGCGUUUCGAUUGGCUGCUUAGAUUUUUAUCAUCUUAAUAAUUUGAACUCAAUUAUUUCAUUGCAAAUAAUUUUUUUUUCUCUAUAAAUAGAGACUUGGAUCAUUUGAUUUCGACACAGAAAAAAAAAACUAAAUUUUUCACUCUCUUAAUCUUAUUAUUAGCUUUUCUUUUGAAGUUUUAGUCUUAAUGUUAAGUGUUUUUUUAUUUUAAUUUAAUUAUAAUCGAUAAUUGUAAUUUUAUGUAAUUAUAAAAACAAAAAUAUAAAAUUAAAUAAGAUUAAGAAAUAAAAGGUGGUGGGGUAGAGUGUUGAAUGAAAAAACCAUUGGAGAGGGUAAAAGUUGAAUGAGUGUUGAAUUAAGAGAAAAAAAAUUAUGUGCAGUGUUGGGAAUUGAAAAAGUGGGUGUUGAAUGUUGUUGAAUGGUUUUAACCCUUACAACGAAAGCUCUUUUAUCCACAUACACUUGCACUUGUACGGUCAUUGCGCUGCUCAACAAAAGCUUCCGCCUUAACACCUUUCUAGAAGACUUUGGAUACAAGAAGCCAAUUCAAACCCUUGGCGACCCAUCGACUUUGACACCAUUGUUGAGUCACAUUAUCUUUUUAAGAAAAAUAUACUAAAAAAUAUCAAAACUAGAAUAUUUAAAAAUAAUGAUAUAAUAUAAUAUCAAUUAUUUUCUUUUUAUAUACCAUAUUAUCUUAAUAUGUGUUAAAUGGUCAUAUGCGACAUUUUUUUAAAAGAAAAUGUGACAAUUAUGUGGUGGAGAUAUAUUAUAUGAGUUGUGGUUACAAGAUCAAAACAAGACAACCAUUUUAUUUCAGAUAUACAUAAAGAGAGCAACCUUAAUUAUAUAAUUAAGUGUCACCCUUUCUUAAAACAAAAUUAAAUGUCACUCUUAAGAGGAAAAGACACAUUAAACAAAUUAGUACCAUCAAUUUUCCCCUGAAAUCCAAAUGGAUACUUUUUCUGUUUAUUAGGAUAAAACACUCCAAAAUGUUUCUCUAACUCAGGAUUCUUCUGAUUCUCAUCAAACAAUCCAAAUAUAUAAGUCUCAAUAGGUCCAGACCUCAUUGGUGUCCCACCUUUAACAUGCCUAAUCAAAUUAUCAAGAUAAACUCUUGCAUUAUCAUAAGUAGUUGCAAAUCCACCAUCUGAAGGCCAACCACUCUCAGACACAACAACCUUAACAAAACCAAUUCCAGUAUUA
rnacentral:lncRNA from 1 species